GUCCAGUUGACGAGUCCUGAAUAGGACGAAGAGACGAGCGUCCUGGAU
rnacentral:hammerhead_ribozyme from 1 species